UGUACCUAUUUAACUUUGCAUUCGCCGCCGCCGCUCAUUUCCUCUUAUUUUGAUAGUGGCGCAGGAAGUGUUAUUCCGCUUUUAUUAUCUGCCGAGCCAGCUGCUGCGCUCACGAUGUUGCGGGUUGUGCUAGGUGCAGGGAACGCGCUGGUUCUCUCGCUGCUGAUGGCAGAUUGAUUGUUUGUAGCCAGCGUCGACAGCCCACAUGGGAGUUAUGGAUGGAUUGUGCCUUUCCAUGAUAGCUACAGGGGAAGCCAACUCCACUUUUGCAUCUAUGAAGAACGUGUCAACGCUGAUGUCCUUCAUUCAGCACAGUCGCUCCUAAAACUCCAAAGACCAAGUUCAUUGUGAGUAAAAUUAUUUUUCUGUAUCGGAGAGAAACAGGUGAAUGUGUGUGUCAGUCUAUUCAUGACCUGAGUGAAAGAGAUAUAAAAAUCUAUUAAAAUUAAUGUCAUGUGGCG
rnacentral:lncRNA from 1 species